rnacentral:rRNA from 1 species
GACGAACGCUGGCGGCGUGCUUAACACAUGCAAGUCGAACGGUGAAGCGCCUUCCUUUUUGGUGGGUGUGGAUGAGUGGCGAACGGGUGAGUAACACGUGAGUAACCUGCCCCCUUCUUCUGGAUAACCGCAUGAAAGUGUGGCUAAUACGGGAUAUUCUGGGUCUGUCGCAUGAUGGGUCUGGGAAAGAUAUUGUUUCGGUGGGGGAUGGGCUCGCGGCCUAUCAGCUUGUUGGUGGGGUGAUGGCCUACCAAGGCGGUGACGGGUAGCCGGCCUGAGAGGUUGGACGGCCACACUGGGACUGAGACACGGCCCAGACUCCUAAGGGAGGCAGCAGUGGGGAAUAGUGCACAAUGGGCGCAAGCCUGAUGCAGCGACGCCGCGUGAGGGAUGGAGGCCUUCGGGUUGUGAACCUCUUUCGCCAGUGAAGCAGGCCUGCCUCGUUUGUGGGUGGGUUGACGGUAGCUGGAUAAGAAGCGCCGGCUAACUACGUG